UAAUGAUGGGUAGGGGAGCUUCCCAUACGGGUUGAAGCAUGACCGUAAGGACAUGUGGACAGUAUGGGAGUGAGAAUGUUGGCAUGAGUAGCGAGAUGUGGGUGAGAAUCCCACAGGCCGUAAACCCCAGGUUUCCAGGGGAAGGUUCGUCCGCCCUGGGUUAGUCGGGACCUAAGCUGAGGCCGAAAGGCGUAGGUGAUGGACAACAGGUUGAUAUUCCUGUACUACCGAUAACCGUUUGAGAGAAGGGAUGACACAGUAGGAUAAGCUAAGCACACUGUUGGGUAUGUGUGCCCAAGCAUUGAGGCAGUCAAAGUAGGCAAAUCCGCUUUGAUAAUGCUGGGGUGUGAUGGGGAGCGAAAUUUAGUAGCGAAGUAGCUGAUUUCACACUGUCAAGAAAAGUCUCUAUCGA
rnacentral:rRNA from 1 species